rnacentral:miRNA from 1 species
CACGUGUUCUCCUUCUCCAAC